UGGGAGAUCGUCCAAUUGGCAGGAUGACAGAUGCUGAUUCUGUUGAUCGUGGUUCGAAUCCACGUCUCCCAGCCA
rnacentral:tRNA from 1 species